UUGAGAUCGUAGGUCGGUGGAAGCACCAGCAGCUGGAGUGAUUACUGGUGCGCAAUGUUCACGACCGCUGGGACGUGCUCUUCCCGAACCGGCGACGUUGGUUUGGCAUCCAUUUUCGUGGCACUGUUUGACGCACGGCAGUGGUAUGGCGCACGCGAGUCCACAACAGAAGGAACUUCUGGUGCAGGGGAUUGUUUUGCGUGGGCGGUGAGGGUGACACAGUUCGGGAGCUAGGUUUUUUGCAGAGAGGUUUGCUCGUACAUGUUGCGAUCCUCAUCCGGCCACAGCCUCCAAUGAUUAGCUCGUCGAGCAGGCCAAACUUGCGACCCAGCAACAAGUGCAGCGCCUCUUCUCCAACAUUCGGCCGGGCAAAUUCCGAACAGCGUUAGUCCGGUCGGGCACAUUUCACCAAGCUUGACGCGGUCGACCUCCAGGUGGCAAAGGGAGGCGAAGCUGUGCUGGAUUAGAGGCGUGGCCGGCCAGAAGGACUCUUCCGACUUGGGAGCUCGGACGUGGGUUAGCAGGAGUUGCUGGAGUUUGUGCAGCUCGGCGAGGGCUAGAUUAGGGCACGCGUGAGUUUGCUAGGAGCUGCUGCAGGCUAUCCUGGGGGAGAUCUAAAUCUUUAAUUUUGAGGUGUUUCAGAACAGGGCAGCCGGCGUUUCGGCGAUUUGUUCCUGAACCUAGAAGAGAAGAUAGAAAAGCAUUUUAAAUUUGAAAUUGUUAAAUACAAACAAAACAUUCUACCGACCGAUUCUAGCAUGUCAGGCCAAACUCAAAUUGCAGAUUCUUCAACGUUUGCGUCUUCCGGUAGAACGCAACCGCAAUGCUUGUUUCUUUCACGGCAGGUCUGUAUCGCCCAUCCACCAACAACUGCUUCAGGAACCGAACCACCAACCGAUCCCGCAACCGAGAACUUACGUCCACAACAUCUCCCUGACGGCUGCAUGUCAAGUGAAUCCCCAGGUCAGCAUUCCGAAAAUCUGCUCCCACAUUUCCGCCGGUAAUGUUGCUUCUCUCCAGCCGUUCUUCCCCUUAAUCCCCCUCGGAGUCAAGUUUGAGUUGAACGUCGCGAUCAUCCGCUGGGCCAACUGCCGAAUCGUGUCAUGUUUUUCCGUCAACUCCCAAGUGCGGCUGCCUUCCGCUUCGUCUUCCGACACUGCUCGCAAGCCCAGAACAGUUAGAGCUGCCCCCCUGGCAUGGCUUCCAGUACAGGUGCGGUCAUGUUGGCACAUUCGGCGCGGAAUACGGUCCGUUGGCGGCACCUCUGCACCACAAGUGAUGAUGGUUUGGAUGCCCUUCUUGGCUGCUGACGAAGACCGGAGCUGGCUGGUUGCAGAUUUGGCAACGUUCCAUGUUCCGAAAUGGGUUACUUCGGAAAGAUUUCACAAAUUCCGACGGCGUUCGCUUUUGAUGGUGACAAACUUCCGUGAUUCAAAAUAAAAACAUCAACAACAGCUGAUUUUUGACAAAUAUGUAUAAACAUAACAGAACAAUCAAGGACCUAUUUUUGGAAUAUUUAUGUUAUUUAAAUAAACUCCGGAAAACAACGCUAUAGUAAUUUAAAGCAGCAAAAACUAUGUGUAGUUACAUAAUAUAAUGCAAGAAAUUUAAAUUCUUAAUAAAAGUAUUAGAAAUAAUCAAAAAUAAAUUAAAUUUUAAAAAAUAAUAUUAUUCCAAUGUUAGGUUCAGUACGGUAACCACUUUCGACAACAGUGCCGCCAUCUAUGGUUUAAAAGAAGUUUCUAUUAACUGCCGCUAGAGGGUAAUCGCUCUUCAACUAUGCGAACCUAGCGGUAGAAGUGAGAAACAUGCCUUCCGGCGUUCCAUUUAUGUGGCCGAGCAUGCCACCCACCCACACCCACAUCCAGCCACGAGAUCAACAACCAGAACGCGGAAAACGGCAAUCGUUUUAAAUUGCACCCGGCGAACUGCACGUAACGUCUACCUGGAGAACAAACGCAAGCGGCCACAGUCUCGCUUCUCCAGCAUGGGUCCGAUAACCGGUCAGCCUUGGCCAGCAAGAAAUAGUAAGUUCAAAGAUCUUUUAUAAUAUGAUCACAAUUGUUUAUUUUUAUUUAUAUUUCCUUUUGAAAUUUAUCUCACAGAAUUCCCCCCUGCGAAAUGUUCCGGUGUGGUCAACCUGCUGAGAACGGCACAGAUUCGUUUGAGGCGGUCAGUUGUUCGCCAAAACUUAUCCCGGAAAAGUGACCGGUAUCUCCGACGCGUGAGAAAUGCCACGAUCCUGGAGCUGGCUUCACUGUAAAGCGGUCAAGUUCCGGUCGAUUGAAUCUCGUCCAGCUCCAAGAUUGAUAACGGGACCACCACCUCCACUGCGGAAGUGGCACAGCGCAGGAAUAAUCGAUGGCAUGUUGAAGGAAAUCAACAGAUGACUGCAUGGCCGUGUGGGGCAAGUUCGAGGGGUUUGGUGCAACGAGCCGUCCACGAAGAUGAAUCUGCUGCAGGAAUUCCAACACAUGGCGCUGUUCAAAUUGCUUGUGGUCAACCGGAACGAGGACCAAUUCAGGGUACCCAAUCGUGGUCACGAACAAUAAUUCCAACUGGUGAGUUUGUUUUUGAAGCAAAACAUUAUGUUUGCUAAUCCCAGUGUAAUACUUUUUUUUCUCAUUAAAUAGGCUGAUGCCGUCUGGAACCAGCACGCGGGGCGUUUAUGGAUCAACAUGUUCCCUCAGAAAAUACUAACGGAUCUGUGCGAAUCUCCGGAAUUACUACGUGGGAUGACCAUGGCACAGAAAGUGCCCUCGGAAAGACGCUACUCAAGAUCAGACUUGAAGACGGGCACGAUGGGUGAGGUUCUGCACUAUGCGCCCAGAUCAAGCAUUUGGAACGAAAGUGCAGGGACAGAAACGAAAGUCAGCACGAAGCUGGUCGAACGAUGACUUAACAGGGCGACGGAAUGACGAUUCAGGCAAUUCCGCAACAGCAAAGAAAAAAUAUCCCAACCCCGGACUCCCGUUUUCUGUGUGAGCGCGGAUUACUUUCAUACAAAGUACCCUGCAAAGUAGACCAUCAUAAAGUGCACCAUGGGCGGGUCCGCCAAAGCUGCUGUGUGGUUCCAGCGAGGUUUUCUGAACGCCGCGGCGUCGUGUUUCGCAGAAUAUCUCCGUUACGCAGACAGUAGUAUCCGGCCACACCGAAAGCAAGAGAGGAACUACUGGAACAGUUCCUGCUGACUGGUUGGCAUCACGGUGGCGCCGAGACUUGCGAUUAACGUGGGACAUCUGGGAGCGCGCAGUUAGACCACCUCGGAGGUGGCGUAGGUGUCGUCGGUGGCAAUGGAAUCAGUGCCACUGAAGGACAGGUAGAACAUUGAUAUUGCAAUCUUUCAACCCAAGCUAAUGUUUCUCUCUUCCAGCUCAAUAGUUCCGGGUGGUUCGGAAGCGGAAGCCAUGUGUGCUGUUCAAAUCGCUGGUUUUCAACCGAAACGCGGCGUUAAAACCGCCUGUUCCGCCUGUAAACAGCAACCAAGUGGGCCCAGGCCACCAAUAGCAGCAAGUUCCGUUACCGCCGCAAUUCGGAGCGCUGAUGCCAAAAUCGUGGAAUACGAAACAAAAGUGGCGGAGGCGGAUGCAAGAGUAUGCUAUCGAGCUUCUUCUCGGGCGGUAGGGCCGGCGAUAUCUCAGUUCAUACCGAGUAGGCGAUCGCGGCCCUCGCGGACAAAUGCAACCUCUAAGGUUGGCUAAUUAGCAGCAGCGAGACCAGCACCGGGAUCACGACGGUAUCCGCGGGACUCUUCGGCGGUGGCGGCUCCGUUCAUGUAGUCGUUCAGCGUUCUAUCAUCUCGUCCUGGAUGCUGCAGCAACAACUUCACCACCAGGAAGAGGACAAGCGCAUGGCUUUUAGUCGCGAAGUGGAACCCGAGCAGGACCGAGUGGAGAGCAACGUGAACGGCAAGACAGUGAAUCGGCCGUUCAUCUACCGAUGCCGCCCUCGCAACGGAUUGGCUACGUCGCGUCCAAGGUCCAUCUCAAGUUGUGCCGCACGGAGGACCAGCGAAGGAAGAUGGAACCCAAGCAAGCCGCGGCCAGGAAGCUACAGGAACUGGAGCAGUAGCUGAAAAGUAAGAAGGUUGAAGACAGAGGAUCGGUCCAAGAAGCGUAA